rnacentral:lncRNA from 1 species
GGGAUUUCAGAAAAGAUAAUAUAUCAGCCCAAAUCUUGUCUUCACUUUUCUGCUAAAAAGAAAUCUACAGCAUAGAGGAACUUGGGCGGUGCAGCCCAGCCUUUUGAGUUGUCUUUGUCCAGCAUUUCAAUAACAGUGCUACAACGACAUUGGACCCCAACAUGAUGUUUAUCCCUUGCACUGCCAUAAGGGAAACUUACUGGUGUGCUUGGUCUUCCGGAAAAGAGUCAUUUCGUUUGGCAGAUUUAAGUCUUUUCUUUCAUGAAAAAGAGAGAAUUUCCUCACUUUUGAAGAAAGGUCAUUUUCCCUGGCUACUAAUAGAAACUUUUAACUUCAAAUUCUUUAUUCAACCAACAAUGAUAUAUCAUUACUAAUUUCUAAUAGCAGUACUCAAUAGUUUAAUUAAAACACUAUCCGAUUUGUUAAUGUCAACAACCUUGAAAUAAAAAAUCUACUUAUUCAACUUGCAAUUUUGCUCACAGCCCUCGAACGCAUUCUUGUAAAUCAACCAUAUAAAAAACACUACAAUUUACAUUAAGCACCUUUUCUGCCUUCAAAUAUUCACCACCUCUACAUCAAUCACUUUUUUGCCUGGCCCAAUAGUUCCAACUGUUCAACAGUUCUACACCAGUAUUGGUUUACAGUUCCACAUAUCCCAUGGCCUAAAUCAUACUUAUCGCGCCUUCUGCAAAGUUCAGAAUAGGCAUUUCACACUGGAUUACAGUACACACCAAAUGAAAGGCAUUUAGAAUGACAAAUCGGCAAUCGCAAGACAACACCUCACCGGAAAAACAGAAAAAUUGA